GAACGAUGAUCCCAGCUUGCUGGGGGAUUAGUGGCGAACGGGUGAGUAACACGUGAGUAACCUGCCCUUAACUCUGGGAUAAGCCUGGGAAACUGGGUCUAAUACCGGAUAUGACCUUCUGCCGCAUGGUGGGGGGUGGAAAGCUUUAGCGGUUUUGGAUGGACUCGCGGCCUAUCAGCUUGUUGGUGAGGUAAUGGCUCACCAAGGCGACGACGGGUAGCCGGCCUGAGAGGGUGACCGGCCACACUGGGACUGAGACACGGCCCAGACUCCUACGGGAGGCAGCAGUGGGGAAUAUUGCACAAUGGGCGCAAGCCUGAUGCAGCGACGCCGCGUGAGGGAUGACGGCCUUCGGGUUGUAAACCUCUUUCAGUAGGGAAGAAGCGAAAGUGACGGUACCUGCAGAAGAAGCGCCGGCUAACUACGUGCCAGCAGCCGCGGUAAUACGUAGGGCGCAAGCGUUAUCCGGAAAUUAUUGGGCGUAAAGAGCUCGUAGGCGGUUUGUCGCGUCUGCCGUGAAAGUCCGGGGCUCAACUCCGGAUCUGCGGUGGGUACGGGCAGACUAGAGUGAUGUAGGGGAGACUGGAAUUCCUGGUGUAGCGGUGAAAUGCGCAGAUAUCAGGAGGAACACCGAUGGCGAAGGCAGGUCUCUGGGCAUUUAACUGACGCUGAGGAGCGAAAGCAUGGGGAGCGAACAGGAUUAGAUACCCUGGUAGUCCAUGCCGUAAACGUUGGGCACUAGGUGUGGGGGACAUUCCACGUUCUCCGUACCGUAGCUAACGCCAUUAAGUGCCCCGCCUGGGGAGUA
rnacentral:rRNA from 1 species